UUUGUGGGGAUGUAAAAAAAAAAGAAGGAGGCUCCGGCUGGCUUCUCCACUGGCUUACUUGGAAUCAGCAAAGUGCAUUCACCUGCCUGAUCGCCUGCCACUCCCAGGGUGGGGCAGAAGAUGAAGCAGCUCGGACAUCAAGUACGAGGAGCAGAUAGCAGGGCCUUCCUUGCAAGGCCAUCUCGAAGCCUCUCCAUCUCGGUUGGCCCCUCAGAAGCCGUCACUACUCAAUUUACGGCUCGCUGACGGUGAUACACUGAGACGUGUGUUGAGAGGCAAUUUUAUUGUCUGGCAAGCAUAACAGAAAAUGAUGAACAUAAAUCUACAGCCGACUACAUGUUUGGCUAUAAGUGCCUACCUCAGUGCUGAGCACAUGGAAUCCAGAGUGUUACAGGUUCAAUACAUGAUGCCACCUAUUAUCAAAUAUACUUCAUGAACCAAGAUCUGAGAGGUAAGAUGACUGACCAAAGAUCUACAGAAAUCCCGAGACAAAAUAACUCAAGGUAAGCACCCAAGUGAAGUAGAGAAGACAUCAAACAAUGGUUCUCCAAGGAAAGGAAAGAUGCUUUCUGAGCAUAGGAAGGGCUCUCCUGCCUUCACUGUGUUCUUAGGAUAAUAAAACACAAAUAUUGUACUGACUCACACGAAGAGGAUUUAUGGCCAGUGCCAGCACCGUGCCGUGAUGGUUUCCAUUAUAGACAAGAGAAAUGAUAAAUUUCCCACUCAAGCUAAUACUAGGAACAAAGUGAAUUUAUUCCUGUGAAGGUGACUUGGAAAAGUUCAGCUCACAAAAGGGGCAAUUCUUUGUUUUGCUUCCAUUUUAAAAAUGUAAUUUAUUUUUAUGUACAGUGCUGCUUGUUUUAUGUUACUGGGCUUCCUUUUUUUUUCCCCUCAAUAAAGCUUGAGAAGAGAGCCUGCUCUCUACAGGGGAUUUGCACCCCCAACCCCGUUCUCAUAUUGCUCAACACCUGUUGGGCAGCUGCUGUGUUCUCCACAAGCACUGGCUGCAUCUGCAAGGACUGAAUUCUAACAAUAUGGAAAGUUGGUGAUACACUUAAGGGAUUUCCAAUGUGAACUUAACUCUAAUAGAUUGC